CGAAAGCCUGACGGAGCAAUACCGCGUGAGGGAGGAAGGUUCUUGGAUUGUAAACCUCUUUUCUAGGGGAAUAAAAAAAUGAAGGUACCCUAGGAAUAAGCGUCGGCUAACUCCGUGCCAGCAGCCGCGGUAAUACGGAGGAUGCAAGCGUUAUCCGGAAUUAUCGGGCGUAAAGAGUCCGUAGGUGGAAGUUCAAGUCUGCUGUUAAAGAAUGGAGCUUAACUCCAUAGAGGCGGUGGAAACUGAGCAACUAGAGUGCGGUAGGGGUAACGGGAAUUCCCAGUGUAGCGGUGAAAUGCGUAGAUAUGGGGAAGAACAUCGGUGGCGAAAGCGCGUAACUGGGCCGAAACUGACACUGAGGGACGAAAGCUAGGGUAGC
rnacentral:rRNA from 1 species